AAGACAUGCAGACACCUCAGCUACAAGGGGGAAAAAAAAAGAUCCACCUACAAUUUUACAAAAAGAAUUUUGCAUCAGACAUGGAAAGAUUAAAAUCAUCUUUCCUCCCUGUAAUCCAAUGUAAACUUACUAGGGACACGGUAUUACGAUUUAUUAAACAAGUCAAGCCACACUCUGGGCUGGUACACACUGGAGCCAACAAUUCACCAAGGACUGCAUUUCUACAACUGCCAUACACUGCGAAUGUUUUCAAUACCAACAUUUGGGGGGAAAACAAAACAUAUGAUUGGAUACAGCACAGAAUAUCCCCAAUUUAAGUUUGCAGCUCUCUGAAGUAGGUGAAGGAUUAGCAUAAGGCUCCAAAGAUUAAAAAAAAAACAAACAACUCUGCUUGAAAUGCACUUAAAUUGCAAAAAAAAAAAACAACCACAGGUUGGCAGCGGCAAAGGGAAAGGGGAGCUGCACACAGCAGGCGAGAAGCGGGUCCGAGUCCAACGCGGAACCGGAUCCGGCGGCGCGUGAAAGGCCAGGCCCGCGGAUACGUGGCACCGCGGAGGCUCUGCGAAAGGCGGGCUGCAAGUCUCCAGGAGGACUCGGAAGCAAGGAGUUUCUCAACUAACACGCUUCAUCACGCCCGAUCACCCGCCUGAAAUAACUACCUGGCUUACAAACACACACAAGAUCAUGCCCACUGCCCAGAUGGGAGAAAGGAACAGCGUUCCCAGGUUGCACCAUCCGACGCCACGCGCGCGGCGGACGGGGAGACGCUCCCAAUGGCUCCAAGUUGGUGCAGAGAAAGCACAUUCUGAGCUGGCUGAGGGUUGUAUACCCUGGGACAUGAGAGUUAACCAUAGAAUGCCGCCCAUUCUCCUUCCCCAAGAACUGCCUAUUGUCAUGGAGAGAUGAACGACCUUGUUGCUGAAACAAUCUGUGAUCACUUCUGAAUCACUGCCCUGGCUUUCUAAUAUGGGAAACUGCUGAAGAGUCAAGUAUCUCUCUUAUACAUAGAUCUUUCUUACAAAUGGCAGGCACAGAUAUUUGCUAGUUUUAUGUGAUAAUAAUGUAUGAGAUGUCCCUAUGCAUGUACUAAAUAGUGAGUGCUUUGAGUAA